rnacentral:rRNA from 1 species
AUUGAACGCUGGCGGAAUGCUUUACACAUGCAAGUCGAACGGCAGCACGGGAGCUUGCUCCUGGUGGCGAGUGGCGAACGGGUGAGUAAUAUAUCGGAACGUAUCCAAUAAUGGGGGAUAACUAAUCGAAAGGUUGGCUAAUACCGCAUACGCCCUGAGGGGGAAAGCUGGGGAUCGUAAGACCUAGCGUUAAUGGAGCGGCCGAUAUCGGAUUAGCUAGUUGGUGGGGUAAAGGCCUACCAAGGCGACGAUCCGUAGCUGGUCUGAGAGGACGACCAGCCACACUGGAACUGAGACGCGGUCCAGACUCCUACGGGAGGCAGCAGUGGGGAAUUUUGGACAAUGGGCGCAAGCCUGAUCCAGCCAUUCCGCGUGAGUGAAGAAGGCCUUCGGGUUGUAAAGCUCUUUCGCAAGGGAAGAAACGUUACGAGCGAAUAACACGUGAUAAUGACGGUACCUUGAUAAGAAGCACCGGCUAACUACGUGCCAGCAGCCGCGGUAAAAC